CCUAACUAAUCCUUCCACAUCAGCCAUCUGAGUCCUGGGACUACAUGCAUGUUUUCACCUUGCCUGGUGUUUAAAAACCAUCAUCUUUCCACAGAGUGAAGUUCUUGCUCUGUGGUGGUUCGUCUCCAUUGUCAGCUUGACUGAGCUAGGAAACACGCUGCUCAUUGUGCCCCUGAGAGCACUGGUGUUUCCUAAGAGGGAAGACUCAUCUGAAGGUAGGGAGCACCAUUCCUGGGCUAGAGUGCUGGACGAAUGAAAAGGAGAAGGCAAGCCAGGCGCCAGCCAGCAUCUGUCUCCCUCGUGCGGACACACCGUGACACUGCCUCACACUUUCGUUGCCCACCUUCCGGCCCUGGUGGCACCCCCAAACCACACAUUCAACAACCUCCCCGCCCCGUCCUUCCCGAAGCUGUUUGCCAUGUAUUUUCACAGCGUGAAAAAGCCUGUCUGUGAUGACCCACAGGUCUCUCUCUCUUCUCCAUCUGCUCCCCACGUUGACUAUCUCAGCUUUUAGCAUCUCCUCAGACCCAAAUCGAGGGUAUGAUGGCUAGGGAGAGGCUCUGUAGCAAAGAAGCUCAAAACCACACCCAAAGUGUGUGAAUCUGCAUUCCCAGUGAAGAGUCGCUUCAUCCCGUAGUGCUUGGUAUAGGAUGUCAGCUUUCUCUACAGCAAGGACCAUAGCUACUCAACGGCGGUCAUCAGGGACCAGCUCCAGCUGUCCCUCUCGGAGGAGCACUGGGACUAAGCCUCAGAGCAGGAGGGGACCCUAGUCUGCUGAUCUCCCAGGGCUUCUGAAAUAGUGUUCCAGAAAUGAAAUUGUCUUAAACCACCCAGGAUGGAGCCUCAUCUGCCAAGCAGCUAGCAGCUCCAGGGAGUGUGCUCUAGCACAUAAGUGACCCACCGACCCUCCUGGGAAUGACUUCAGGGAAGCAUCGAGAGAGAAGCUCUGCUAACAUCUGGCCAGAUCUUUACAAAGAUGAUGGAAGAAGAAAGCCCUCAAAUGAAGGCCCUCGGAGGCGGGCUACACAACAAAGUCAAACACAGAGGCAAGCUGCAAACAGGAAGCAGCAGUCUGUGCCGAGGUCCGUGUGCUCCUCUCUCUUCCCUUUCACACUCCUCUCACAGUUAAUAUUCCCUCCUGAAAGCGCUGCUUCCCUGACAUCAUGGUAUUCGAACAAUGAUAGCAUUUGGAUUUUCCAGCAGAGUUAACAGUACUGUGCAAAGCAAAAACUGCCAAUUGAUGGGCUUAUUCUGCUUCUUAAAUGCAUUUCUUGAA